rnacentral:sRNA from 1 species
ACCUCCGGGGGCAAGAGGUUCGACUCGAGCGAAGCGAGAGAACGUUGCGUCAGCAACGGCCCGCAGAGCGAGCCACGCAGUGGCGAGUCAUCCUCUAUCACCGACCA